GCAGCUAAAGUGGGACGAGAAAAUGUUACGACAUCCGAAAAGUCCACCGGUUUUCGGCAACUUUAUUUCUAGUUUAAACGGAAAAACAAACCAGAUAGUCUUGUUUCAGCAAAUUAUAGGGUGAAAUGAAGACUACGCAACUAAAAAUUGUUUUAGAAACCGGAAGAAUCCAUACAAGCCUUCGUUUAAGUGAGACAAGCCAGAAACGUUUUAGGGUACAAAAACGUGAGAAGAUUGAAGUAGACUGGAAAGGUUGUGACCUUAUAAGAUUGGAGACUCUUUCUAAGCUUUGAUAUAAUACCUAAAUUGGCUUAGAUAGUUAGUUAAUUUGGUAGAAAUGAAGUUACUUAUAAAAAUCCCGGAGGCAACGACUGUAAUAUAACAAUCAUUUCAAAGGAUGUUUUCAUUUACACGAGAAGUGCAUUGUGGUCUAUAUUUAGUAGAAACCAACACUAUAUAAGUCAUGAUGAACUAAUGAUGGAAAAAAGAUGUUUGUACCCCAGCUAGACCAGCAUGCAACUUGUUACGACUCAGUGAAGCGCUCUCAUAUAAUUUCUAUUAAGGCUAACAUUCAAGAGUCUUUCAAGAAACUUAAGUUUUCCUUGGAAACAACCAUUGGUUAUGGAACAUCCACGGUGAUGGUAUUUGUCACUAAAGUUAUGGAAGUGGUCAUCAUGGCAAUGGUUACCAUAGUAAUACAUAUGCCGUUGUCAUGGCAAAAGCAGGCAGCGAAAAUGAAAUCAAUGCGGUGAUGGUUUAAAGUUAACGUCAAUUUGCUAGGAGCUGCUAGACGCAAAUUAAUAAAAAUAACGAAAUUAAUAAAAAGGAAACUCAAACGAGACCUCUGUUUGCUACCAAGAGUGGAGAGUGGUACAGAGGAGUUUUCUCGAUCCGAUUUUUAAUUAUUGAUUUUCCCUUUAUUAUAAGAAUAUUAAUAAAUUAUUAUAAAUAUUGAUAGAUAUCAAGACAGUUCAUGACAUGCGGAUUUCACAUAGUAAAGCAUUGAAAAAUCGAAUCAAGAAUUGUCAAUCUUUUUGAUUAUAUAAAAUCACCUCGUUAACAUUGGGUUUUGUAAGAGCCUUGCAGCUUAAUUCAAGUAAUCCUCAUCAUUUUGUACUGAGAAGUCAAUAUCUGGAGGACUUCCACAGCAAAUGCGUGGUAUGAGAUGAAAACUCGAUGAUGACUAGCACUGGAUGUAACAUCUUUGCAGAGUAUAUCAUUUCAAUGAGGAUAUUUUGUGUAUGUUCUCUUGAAAAAAUGUAGAAAAUUAGCUUGUGUGUUACGUUAUUUCCCAAUUAGAAAUGACAUGAAUGAUUUGGAUAAUUACGUUUAGUGACUGAUUUGAUCAAGGUUACAACCUCUACAAUUAGUCCUACUAGCGUACAAAAUUAGCUUGUCUUACGAUAGUUCCCAGUUAGAAAUGACAUGAAUAAUUUGGCUAAUUAUGUUGAGUAACUGUGUAUGAUCAAGGUAUAACUCCUCUGUGGUUGCUGUGCAAACAACCUCUACAAUUGAUCUACUAGUGUAUAAAAUUAGCUUGUCUUACGAUAGUUUCCAGUUAGAAAUAACAUGAUUAAUUUAGAUAAUUAUGGCUGAUAAUGAAGGGAUGAGGUAUUACUUCAUUAAGACCGUUUCGCUUUCAACUUCUAUAAUUAUAAAAUUAGCUCGUGUACUA